UUUGUUUCUCAUGUCUCUAGUGUUCAGAUUUGUCUGGCUCUGCGGUAUCUCCAUGAGAAGAAAAUUCUUCACAGAGAUAUUAAACCUCAGAAUAUCUUCCUGACUGAAGAUGGUUACAUCAAUCUUGGAGAUUUUGGAUGCUCAAAAUCAUUGGAAAGAGCUGAUGAAUAUGCUAAUUCAGUCGUGGGUGCAAAGCUCUAUGUCAGCCCAGAAGUUUAUCAGAAGAAAUAUAAUUUCAAAAGUUAAGCUAUUGGACAACUGAG